CCGAUUCAGCCCUGAGGCAGAAAAACUGGACAAAGCAGUUUUUUUCCCCCUUCCCCUUUAUAGAGUGUGUGAUUUGUGCAACAGCUUUGGCUUGGCAAAUAGGGAAGUGUCAGCGCUAAAUCAGCUUUACUCUAAGGGCACGGUACGCCUGUGUUUCUCAACCGAGUGAUACCCAAAUCCAGGACCAUUUUACUUCAAGUGGAAUACACACACAGAGCAAACAUUCUCAAGGUGACUUAAAGACAACAGUGAGGAUAUCCAUAUUCUGGAGGUUGGAUCUCUGGGAAAGCUGGUCACUGGCUUCUGCCUGGCAUGAAGGGUACAGAAGGUAGGAUUUCCUUCUUUAAGGUGUUUGGUAUAUGAAACUGCGUGUUUCUGGCCUGUGCUACCUUGUCCCAGUUUAAAGCCCACUGUACUAGCUUGACAUCUGGCUGAGGCAUGAUCCCUUUCUUUUCAUUUCAUUCAGCCUUGAUCUCCCAAUUGGCCUUUGACUGCUGACUUUCGUACUCUUUUUGGUUCCAGACUGUCUGCUUGGCCUGACCUUGUGCUUAAUGCUUGACCUCUCCAUGACUCCUAGGAACCAUACCCUGAACCUAGAUUGACUGCUGUCCACAGCUCAGUCAGAAAAUGGAAGCCUUUAGAAUAAAUGAAUUAUCAAAGAGAGGAGAAAUACAUAAGUACAGGUCUCUGGGUCAAACCUUGUGAAAUGCUCAAAGUAAAGGAAAGGAAGUAGAGAAUAAAAAGGGAAUAAAAGACACAGAAAAGGUGGAAGAGCAUAAAGGGGAAUAAAUAUAUUCAUGAAGAAAUUAGUCAAAUGAGUGAAAUUCUACAGAAAUAUCAUACAGAAUAAAGUGUGCAUCAAGUUCAUUGGAUUGUGCAAACAGGAAGCCAUUGAUGAUCUUUAAAUACAUCCUAGAAUUUAGUUGCUAGAUAAUUUUGGUACUGAUUUAAAUGUACUUCACCAUUUAGAAAUGAACAUAUGUUUCCAUAUGUGUAAAUACAGACUUUUCUAAGAGAUGAUUUGGCUUAAUUCUUACUGAAGGUAAGAAGAAGAAAUGUGUGCGUAUGGGUGUAGGUGACUAGUAGGGAGGAGAAGCACUUAAGAUUUUAAACUUUUUUCUUGGUUCUCUUUCCCCCCUUCUUUCUCCCUCUUACAAAUCCAAAUAUGUAGAAGUAAGAAACCAUGGUCUCAUUUGAGGGCUGUGCUUUGGGUUAGGCAAGGCAAGUAUAUGCUUGCUGUGCAGAAAAAAAAAAGACCCAUUUUUUUUUUUUUUGUUCACCCAUCUCAAACUCUGAUUUACUGCUCUUAAAACCUAGCAAC
rnacentral:lncRNA from 1 species